rnacentral:rRNA from 1 species
AACGAACGCUGGCGGCAUGCCUAAUACAUGCAAGUCGAACGAGAAAGCUCUUCGGAGUGAGUAUAGUGGCGCACGGGUGCGUAACACGUAGGUGACCUACCUUGUAGUGGGGAACAACCAGGUGAAAACCUGGCUAAUACCGCAUAAUCUGUAAAAAUUUGGAAUUAUUACAGGAAAGGGGGCUUCGGCUCUCGCUACUAGAUGGGCCUGCGGGGCAUUAGCUUGAUGGUGGGGUAAUGGCCUACCAUGGCGAUGAUGUCUAGCUGGUCUGAGAGGAUGAUCAGCCACACUGGAACUGAGACACGGUCCAG